GAACAUACCAAGGAAUUAAUGGGACCUGUAUGUGGAGAUGCACAGGUGGGCUCUGGGGCUACUUGACCAAGAGUCCACCACUGUGCCAGCUUCUGAACUUGGGCCUUGAGACUCUGACCACUUCUACUUCCCAUCUAUUGGAUGAGCCCCACGAAGAAGCUGACAUGAAACAGUAUCAUGUCCCAGCGAGUUCCCAGCUGAUGGC
rnacentral:lncRNA from 1 species